rnacentral:rRNA from 1 species
UACGAAGGGGGCUAGCGUUGUUCGGAAUUACUGGGCGUAAAGCGUAUGCAGGCGGACUUUUAAGUCGGGGGUGAAAGCCCGGGGCUCAACUCCGGAAUAGCCUUUAAGACUGCAUCGCUUGAACACGGGAGAGGUGAGUGGAAUUCCGAGUGUAGAGGUGAAAUUCGUAGAUAUUCGCAAGAACACCAGUGGCGAAGGCGGCUCACUGGCCCGAUACUGACGCUGAGGCACGAAAGCGUGGGGAGCAAACAGG